ACUCCUCCCAUCACAGACUGACAGUGACUCUGGUCUCUAAGUUCAUUUUGCUCAGAACACAAUAAUGAUCUCAGCUGGUCUGAUCAAAGUCUCUGCAGCUCUGCUCUGUGUUGUAGGUCUAAGUGAUGGGAGUGAUGUCACCCAAACCCCUCUGUUGUGGAAGAACGAGGGUCAGUCUGCUACAAUAGACUGCAGUCACACUAAGGAUGCUAGCUACUUCCAGAUGUACUGGUACAGACAGCUGCCAGGGGAGAUGAUGAAGCAAAUUGUUUUCACAACUACAACUCCACCACAUAAAUAUGAGAGUGGCUUUAGUGAGGACAAAUUUCCAGCAAAGAAGAACGAUGCUCAGACUGGAUCUUUGACUGUGGAGAAGCUGCUGCAUAAUGACAGUGGAGUGUAUUUCUGUGCUGUGAGUAAACACAGUGAUACAGGCGACUUAGACAGCUGUACAAAUACUCAACUGUCAGUGUCACAGUGA